AAUAGUGAGGCUGUCCAGUUGUUGUUGUUUAACAUACACACUGUGAAUCCAUUUGACCCAUAACAGGUCUUUCUUGUGAGCUAAAUCUCAUCCUAGCUUAACUAUUGCAGCUUUGUUCCACAAUGAGAUGUUAGUUAAGUUAAGUCCCCCAGCAGAUUUAGGCAUACACAUUUUCUCCCAGGCUACAUAUGCUUUCUUGUUGAUGGUCACAGACC
rnacentral:lncRNA from 1 species